UUCCGUAGGUGAACCUGCGGAGGGAUCAUUACUGAGUUUACGCUCUAUAACCCUUUGUGAACAUACCUAUAACUGUUGCUUCGGCGGGUAGGGUCUCCGCGACCCUCCCGGCCUCCCGCCUCCGGGCGGGUCGGCGCCCGCCGGAGGAUAACCAAACUCUGAUUUAACGACGUUUCUUCUGAGUGGUACAAGCAAAUAAUCAAAACUUUUAACAACGGAUCUCUUGGUUCUGGCAUCGAUGAAGAACGCAGCGAAAUGCGAUAAGUAAUGUGAAUUGCAGAAUUCAGUGAAUCAUCGAAUCUUUGAACGCACAUUGCGCCCGCCAGCAUUCUGGCGGGCAUGCCUGUUCGAGCGUCAUUUCAACCCUCAAGCUCUGCUUGGUGUUGGGGCCCUACAGCUGAUGUAGGCCCUCAAAGGUAGUGGCGGACCCUCCCGGAGCCUCCUUUGCGUAGUAACUUUACGUCUCGCACUGGGAUCCGGAGGGACUCUUGCCGUAAAACCCCCCAAUUUUCCAAAGGUUGACCUCGGAUCAGGUAG
rnacentral:rRNA from 1 species